rnacentral:rRNA from 1 species
UCCCGUGUCUGGCGUGUGCCUUCCGUGUUUACGUUUUCUGGAGAGUCGGGUUGCUCGGGAUUGCAGCCUGAAUGGGAGGUAAAUUUCUCUCAAAGCUAAAUACUGGCGAGAGACCGAUAGCGAACAAGUACCGUGAGGGAAAGAUGCAAAGAACUUUGAAAAGAGAGUUAAAAAGUACCUGAACUUGUUGGGGGGAAAGCGUUUGCCUCCAGUGUGCCGCGUAUGACUCAGCCUCCCUUGGAGGUGCACUUUGUGCGCGGCGGUCAGGGUGGGUUUGCUUGGGCGUUGACGGUCCCCUUGAGGUCUUCGGGCAACGGGGUGGCUUUUGCGUCCGCGCGGACCGAGGCUCGCUCGCAUCGCGCGUCGGUGGAUCGUGUGUGCGUCUGACAAGCAACUUGUCUUCGUACAGCGUGAAUCCCUAGUGCGUGGUUAGCGUGACCCUGACGAAAUGGUGGCAACCGACCCGUCUAGAAACACGGACCAAGGAGUCUGACGACUGCGCGAGUCUUCGGGUGGCAACCCCGUGGGCGUAAUGAAAGUGACUUGGCCUUCAGGGCCGACCGACCGUGAUCUUUUGUGAAUGGUUUGAGUACGAGCGUAGUUGCCGGGACCCGAAAGAUGGUGAACUAUGCCUGAGUAGGGUGAAGCCUGAAGAAAUUCAGGUGGAGGCUCGUAGCGAUACUGACGUGCAAAUCGUUCGUCGAACUUGGGUAUAGGGGCGAAAGACUAAUCGAACCAUCUAGUAGCUGGUUCCCUCCGAAGUUUCCCUCAGGAUAGCUGGAGCUCGUGAUUCAGUUUUGU